CAGCCAAAUCCCUGCCUUACUGACCUCUCCCCUGGAGGAGCAGGAGCAGCGCUCAAGGCCGCCUUGGGAGGGCUGAGAGGCAGGCUCUGGACUGGGGACACAGGGAUAGCUGAGCCCCAGCUGGGGGUGGAAGCUGAGCCAGAGACAGUCACAGAGGAACAAGAUCAAGAUGCGCUUUAACUGAGAAGCCCCCAAGGCAGAGGCUGAGAAUCAGAAGACAUUUCAGCAGAAACAUACAUAUGAUAGUUGAGAAAGACACAUAUUCUGAUCAUGAAGAAAUAAACACAAGUUAAAUAUGACUAAGCAGAAAGAUGGAAGGACCAGGAACGGUGAUGCUAACUUGGAACCACGAUGCAGGCUCUAAUCUCCUCUACAAUCAUCCUCCCUUGUGAGAAAAAUACAUAAGAUCUAAGGCACAUGAGAUGAUACGCUUUCUGUUUGAGUUUCUCCUUUAUGUUACGCAUACUGAUAAAAUUGUUGACGCCAGUUGAUCUGAAGGUCCCAGCAAGGAGCCGACUCACAGAAGAAUGCAGUUUUCACAUUGUGAUGAUUUAAUCUUCCUUGACCUGAGCAAUUGACAACCCCAAUUCUCCAGAACCUCACCCGCCACAAUCCCCUUAAAAACCCUGGUCCAGAACCCCUCAAGCAGACAGAUUUGAAGCUUGAGGAUUCCUUCAUCUCUUUGCCCAAUGGCAUUGUGAUUAUUAAACUCUUUUUCUGCUGGAAAUUAUGAUGUCUCAGUGUAUUGGUCUAUUGCUGCUCAGUGGGCAUAUGAAUCUGGCAGUCCUGUAACAGGGACAAAAGAUAAACUACUGGCAAAACACUCGUAAAAGUCAUAACCUAAGACAUAGGCCCACUGAAAGGCGGAUAUUCAAUCAGAGCACUAUAGAACAUAUUUCUCUGCUCAUACCAUAAAAUUUAAACCAACAUGACUCCAAUAUAAGGAGACAGACAAAAGAGCUAUAAGAAACAGACACUGUUUGAAGAUGAGUACUUAAGGAAACCUAAAGUUAAGGGAGGAGACAAAAACAAGGACACUAGAGGAAUUUGAAACCUUCAGAAACUUGAGCUAUAACAAAUAUUAAAUGCAGUUCAACUCCAAGACAGAUUAACAUAUAUCCUCAAUUAACUUUAUCUCAGUAUCAAUUUAUCUCAGCAUCAAUUUAUCUCAAUAUCUAUUAUGGAUACCACAUGUCUGGCGCUCAAUAAUGGCAACAAAAUUACAAAACAUGGUAAAAGGCAAGAAAAAAAUUAACAAUCUGAAGAGACAGGAUGAUCAUCAGAACAAGACUCAGUGAUGAUGAUGCAUAUUUUGGAAAUAGCAAUCAAGAAAUUUACAUAACUAUGAUUAAGAUGUUAAGGACACUAGUGGAAAAUGUAGAAAAUAUUCAAUAAAAGAUGAUUAGUAUAAGCAGAGAGAUGAAAAUUCUAACAAAGAACCAAAAUAAAAGGCUAGAAAUUA
rnacentral:lncRNA from 1 species